rnacentral:rRNA from 1 species
AUUGAACGCUGGCGGCAGGCUUAACACAUGCAAGUCGAGCGGAGAGAAGUAGCUUGCUACUGAUCUUAGCGGCGGACGGGUGAGUAAUGCUUAGGAAUCUGCCUAUUAGUGGGGGACAACAUUUCGAAAGGAAUGCUAAUACCGCAUACGUCCUACGGGAGAAAGCAGGGGAUCUUCGGACCUUGCGCUAAUAGAUGAGCCUAAGUCGGAUUAGCUAGUUGGUGGGGUAAAGGCCUACCAAGGCGACGAUCUGUAGCGGGUCUGAGAGGAUGAACCGCCACACGGGGACUGAGACACGGCCCAGACUCCUACGGGAGGCAGCAGUGGGGAAUAUUGGACAAUGGGCGGAAGCCUGAUCCAGCCAUGCCGCGUGUGUGAAGAAGGCCUUAUGGUUGUAAAGCACUUUAAGCGAGGAGGAGGCUACUUUAGUUAAUACCUAGAGAUAGUGGACGUUACUCGCAGAAUAAGCACCGGCUAACUCUGUGCCAGCAGCCGCGGUAACAC